CGUCGCUGCAGACUGUAGCGCGGUGACGUCACGUACGUACGUCACGUAUGUGUUUACUGCGCAUGCGCAAUGUGACAUAAGGUAUAUGUUUAACACGCAUGCGCGUCGUACAUAUUGGCGUUACCAAGGAGUAUAGAAGCGCUAUAUACCUAGGGUUACUGCGCAUGUACAGGUUCAUUCACUUCCGGAUGUAUGGUGGAUUCGAGAUUCGUUGGCAAUGCAUACUACAGUCCUCAGAAAAGGAGAAAAGAUAACAAUAGAACAGUGCAUCUCAUGCUGUGAUAAAUAUCACUGCCCAUUUUGUGAGACCUGGGUCUACAAACCAGUGGACUUGUACAGUGUCACGAAGCAUGUGCAGGAUCAUCUGAAAACAGCUGUUCGUGAAGAAGAUUUUAUUAUCAUAAGAUGCAGCUUAAAAUGCAGAGAUGUUUCUCAUUUUCAUUGCUGCUAUUGUUCUGCUACAAUCAUACGAAAAGCACAAUUUAACAUCCAUCUUACAAAAUGCAAGCAAAAGAAACAAAAGUUUCCAUCUCCACAAAGAACUCCAUCACCCAUGGUUCUGAUUGGUAAUACA